GUUUCGAAAAUAUAAGAAAUUAAUGAUUUUCUUAAUCUAUGUGCAUAGCUUCAAAACGACUUAUAAUAAAAAACGGAGGGAGUACUCAUUAUAAAAAUCGUUAUAAGACAAUCAAUACUUAACAUUUCUGCAUUGUCAGUUAUUUACUCUUACUUACUUCGAUCGGGUUUCCUAAUCGAAUUAUUAUCAUCGUCAAAGUUCACAUACCAUUAUAUAGUGUAAAACUGUAAAUUAAUUUCGGAUAAAUUAAGGUACAAAUUUUUCUGGAUAAAUUUGAAAAUAAAUUAUUAUUUUUUAUUUGCGCAGAUGAAUAAAUAUUGUUGGUGUGGUUGAUAAUCAAAUGUAAUAAAUUUUAAAUAUCUAAAGUGUCUUACAGGUGUGGUGUAAUUUUUCAGUUACAAAAAAGAAAAAAAAUAAUAAUAGUAAUGCAAACAAAUUGUUUUUUAUGCAUCGAGCUCAAAUAUCUUUGGUAUACAUGAUUAUUUUCUAAAUUAAAAUUUCUAAAAAUGGACUCUGGAUUUGAAAAGAUUAAGAUGUAAUGUGAGAAAUAUUAACGAAUUGAGCAAAUGUCUUAGAUCCUUAAUCCCAAAAGUGUUGUAGACCAAAAUUUGAAAAUAAAGUAAAGUUAAAAAUCAAGAUAUAUUAACAGUGUUUUUUCAACAUUGUUCUAUACUACUAAAUACAUACUGAUGUUACAUUCUGGUAGGUAGUUAAAAAGUUUUACACGAAAAGUAAAUAAAUGAUCUCACAUCUAAAAUGGGACUCCGUAUAUUAUUCAAUAUUGCAAGGGAAAAACAUUAAUACAUACAUACAUGAUGCAUACUAAAGUAAGAGAAUCAGAUGUGAUUAGGAAAAGGAUGCGCAGAUGUGUGUGAUUAGUUAAUGGAAGAAACGAAAUUAACUAACGGAACUAACGAAUUAAGGACGUUGUAAACGCCACGUCAUCAAAAGACACGGAUGCUAAUGGGUCACCACUGGUUAUAUAUGCCGGAUUUAAAGGAAAAUAUUUUCUCCAACUUAAUUAAUCACAAUUUUUUUGUAUCCUUUCAUGUUCCUGAUUUUUAUUUCUCAGGCGCAUAUUACGGUCACUUGUUGACCGGCCACAUCACGCCGUAGUAUGUUUCCACCAGAUGAAAAAAAAAGAUAAUCCAUGCAAAAGUGAAACCAAGAUACCAUUUUUUAUAUUCCAACAUAUUUAUAAAUUAAAUCGGACAUAAAAGAAACCUCUCUCUUUGUAACUUCUCUUUGGCUGGCAAAAAAUCCCGCUCUUAAAGUUCCGACGGUUUGACCUAGAUUCGCUGUCGAGAGCUUCUCUUCCUCCUUUUUCAUUUUUCCCUUUACUCUUGUUGCUAUUUUUCUUGUGAUGUCAGAUAUGGUUUACACUCUGCUGGUAGUCUUCUCGUUGAACUCUAUUUAUGCACUUGGAGGAGGUAGAUCUGGCGUCCAAGGGUCCUAUUUUGGAGUACACCGAGGCAUUGCGAGUAUUUGUGGAAGGGAGUUGGUGUUUAGGGUUUUGAUUCUUCGCAGAUAUCGUUUUUCCCUUUUGCAGAUUUGUUCGGUUUCAUGGUGAUGGCGGCGCGUGAGGGUAUGUGUUGAGUUCUCCCUUGUUCUGAUUUGUUUCUGUUUGCGGAGGUUGUCUCCAUGGUGGUUGGAGCUGUUAACUUCUUGUGUGAUGCGGCUUGGUGUCUCGUCUCAGCUCUGGUUGUAUUUUCGUUCAAAGGAGCGCAUGCUCAGUCUUCCAGGUGGCUGUGGGGUUGCGAAUUGGGUAGGGUCUUGUGUGUAUAGCUCAUUGGUUUUGGGUUGGAAUUGUCGUAUAUGGCAGAGAAAGAUUCUUCUCUGGCUGCUACUCUCCUUUUGCUCAUCCUCCUCACUGUCCAGAUCAAGUUUAUGCUCCAGCCAUUUCGCGUGUGAUUUCAAAUCUUCCUCGGACUCGCUUUUCUGCUACUAUUUGCCUCUCCAAGGACAGGUGGUCGUAUAGCGCAGAAAAGACUGGAUGGAGUUCUCUUAUUCAGAACAAGACUCUUAGUCAGACCAAGACGCUGGUUUGCAAUCUUGUUCGAGUCAGUACGGUUGUGUCGUCGAGGAGACUUAGGUGGGGUUUGGAAAUCCUAGUGUCACAGUGUCUUUUUGGACUCUUUGGCAGGUUAAAUCUCUUCUUCUUUUGCAGGGCACGAGGAGCUUGCAUCUAGAUUUUGUCUCCAUCACAGCCCGCUUUUGAUCCAGACAUUCCUUCCCGUGGGUUUUGCAAGGAUACGAUAGUGUUCUGAAAAUUUGUUAUCUCCCUCUCCUUAUUUUUGGUGUCAAGAAAUUUAUUGUCAAUGAAGAUCACAAGCUUGAAAAAAUCGUGAUGAAUCAGCUAUUCCGGUGAUUUCACGAGAAUUAUCCGCAUCUGAGGUAACGAGGAUUAUGGAGUGAACUAGCGGAAUGCGCCACUGCGGUGGUUGAGCGAGGCUAGGGAUGAAAAGUUUGAAUUAGUUUAUUUUGUCUGAAUCAAGCUUGUAAAUUGAUAUUUGAAUUUUCAAUUUACCUGGUUGAGUAAUGAAGAUUCACGAAGAUCCAUGGUUCUCCGGCCUUGUGGCGUGUUGGUGGAGGGUUUUUAUUUAAGAGACACAAUGUAGUGGGUAGAUUUGGCCUCAGAUAUGAAAUGCAAGUCUCCUAUGCUCAAUUAGAUGCUCGUUCUGAGGACGGUAGAUAACUUGUGUUAGGGUUUUCUCUAUGGCGAUGGAGGGAAGACGGUGGAAAGGUGUGCCCUAGGACAAUCGUCUCAUCGUUUUGAACUGGCGAAAUUAUUGGCUUUGUUGGGUUUUUUCUACCCUUACACUUCUCUCUCUAGUUUCGUGUUUGUGGAUCCGGUGGACUCUCCCUACGCGUGAGGUGGUGGUUGUUUGUGCUACCACCUCAUUUUCGUUUUUUUCGGUGGAAACAUCUCGGAGGAAGUCACUCAACUUUCGGUUUAACUCUCAGGAUGUUUUUCCAAUGGUUGUCUUAGUCGAUAUGGCUUCCUCUUCGACGGUGGCUACAAAAGAUUUUUUGGUGUUUGGGAGUCUAACUUUUCUUUAGAUAGAUGAUUUUAGAUUUGGGUAAAACCAGUUAUGGUGGUUUUGUUUAAUUUUAGCUUUUUUAUAUUUUAUUUGCUUUAUUUUUUUCAGCUUUCUUUUUAAAUUAAAAAAAUUGAAAAAAUAUUUUUAAUAUGAAGAACCUCUUAAAAAACUAUAUCUGAUUUUCAGAAAAAUCCUACUUAAAACCUUACACUUAAACACUCUUAAAACCAUGAAUUUUUCUAUUAAAAAUUAUAUCUUCCAAACUGAUAAAAUUAACAUAUCAUUUUUUUUGUCACAUUAUCGUUU